rnacentral:rRNA from 1 species
CAGCCCCUCGAGUGGUGGGGAUGAUUAUUUGGCCUAAAGCGUCCGUAGCCGGCCGAGUAAGUCCCCCGUUAAAUCCAGCGUCUCAAGCGUUGGACUGCGGGAGAUACUACUUGGCUAGAGAGUGGGAGAGGUCAGCGGUAUUCUGGGGGUAGGGGCGAAAUCCUUUGAUCCCCGGAGGACCACCAGUGGCGAAGGCUGCUGACUAGAACACGUCUGACGGUCAGGGACGAAAGCUGGGGUAGCGAUCCGGAUUAGAGACCCGCGUAGUCC